rnacentral:rRNA from 1 species
CAGGACGAACGCUGGCGGCGUGCUUAACACAUGCAAGUUGAACGGUAAGGCCCUUCGGGGUACACGAGUGGCGAACGGGUGAGUAACACGUGGGUGAUCUGCCCUGCACUUCGGGAUAAGCCUGGGAAAACUGGGUCUAAUACCGGAUAGGACCAUGGACUUCACGGUUUGUGGUGGAAAGCUUUUGCGGUGUGGGAUGGGCCCGCGGCCUAUCAGCUUGUUGGUGGGGUAAUGGCCUACCAAGGGCGACGACGGGUAGCCGGCCUGAGAGGGUGUCCGGCCACACUGGGACUGAGAUACGGCCCAGACUCCUACGGGAGGCAGCAGUGGGGAAUAUUGCACAAUGGGCGCAAGCCUGAUGCAGCGACGCCGCGUGAGGGAUGACGGCCUUCGGGUUGUAAACCUCUUCAAUAGGGACGAAGCGCAAGUGACGGUACCCAUAGAAGAAGCACCGGCCAACUACGUG